GGAUCUGCUGAAGUUUCUCUCUCCCUCUCCCUCUCCUCCUCCCCACACUCACGCUCUCUCUAAAAAUAAAUACAUCAGUCUUAAACAAAAAAUCCUCUCAACAACCUCAUAAAGUCAACCCUAACCCCCAUUUUGCAGAUGCAGAAACAGAAGCAGAGAGUUGAAAUAACUCGUCCACAGUCAUGGACGUGUUGGAGUCAAGAUUCUUUAGUUGUGUUUCUCCCUGACUUGCCCUAGAGACAAAGGAGGAAAAAUAAACUGAAAGGGUCCAGGGCAGGAAAGGUGAAGUAAUUCAGAAGUUGCCAAGACACUUUCAUUCCAGAAAAGUCCUGGCAUGAAAGGAGAGCAAACUGGUCUGUAGGUACUCCCCGUUCCUUUUUCCUAGUGGCUCAGAAGCAGACAAUGGUUUUCUCCGAGCCAAAUGCUCUAGGCCCUGCUGGCACUCAACUCAUAAUUAUGUCCUUUGAAACUCUAGUCGUCUGAUGGCUAGAGCACAGAGGUGAACUGAAGACCUCAGAGAAGCUACUGAAAAGCAGAAGACAAAAAGUCAUUCUUAUCAAUGGUCCUUCCAAGCUAAUUUCAUGUCUGCACAUCUUCGAACCAUUUACCGAGGGCCUUCAUACUCAUGGUCUCAUUCAAUUUCCACAAUAAGCCUAAGGUUACUCACCACACAACUCAGAACAGAUCCUAACGACGUUUUUGUCACAACACUAAGCCAGAGAAGCGCACGUGAUGUUUGAUUUCGGGAGUCGGUGAAGAAGGGCACGACGGACACCCUCCAGGGCAGCAGGAACUGGGAUCCAAUGAGAAAUCAUGUGAUUCCCGUCAAAAGAGACACAGCCUGUGGAUUAAUGUUGGUUUCUCAUCGAGUUGAACAGAAUCUUCUCUCUGUGACCCCGCAAUCCUACCCCUCGUGUUUGCCAAGGGAAAUGAAACCAUUUGUCCAAACAAAGACUUGCACAUGAAUGUUCAGAGAGCUUCAUUCAAGUAGCCCCAAACUGGAAACUGCCCAGAUAUCUAUCAGCAGGAGAACGAAUAAACAAGUUGUGGUACAUACAAUGGAAUGCUUCUCAGCGAGGAAAAGGACUGAGCUGAGAUGCAUGUGACAUCACAGAGGAAUCUCAGAAUCCUCAGGGUAAGUGAAAGCAGCCGUGUGUCAGAGCACGGCCUGGGUGAUCCCACUUAUGUGCUCUUCUUGAAAAGGCCAAACCACUCUGAAGUGACAGAAAGCAGAUCGGUUAUGGCCUGUCUCUGCAGUAGAAAUGGGGACGGACUACGAAGGCACACAAGGGAAUUUGCUGGGAGGGAGCUGUUUCCGAGGACACUGAUCUCAUGAGCGUCUGCCUUGGUCAAAAUUCUUUAAGCUCAAGAUGCUUCUUCCGUGAGCACUGUGGAUAGCUGGGCUCCAAGAAGAGAAGCCGCAGGGAUGGACUUCACGACGAAGCAGCUCCAGCCCUACCCGCGGAUAACCGGGAGGUGAUGAGAGAUUGCGCGCCAGGGCCAGACUUGCUUUCAUCGCAGAUACCCCCAGGGUACCACUUUCUAAAUCAUCUGUGGUGAAGAACCAGGUGCUUUUUGUUGUUGUUCCUUGUUUAUUUUAUAAAAUAAAAUCACGUAUGCUAGAGGUCA